UCGUCACACUAUCAUUAACUGAAUCCAUAGGUUAAUGAGGCGAACCGGGGGAACUGAAACAUCUAAGUACCCCGAGGAAAAGAAAUCAACCGAGAUUCCCCCAGUAGCGGCGAGCGAACGGGGAGGAGCCCAGAGCCUGAAUCAGCAUGUGUGUUAGUGGAAGCGUCUGGAAAGGCGCGCGAUACAGGGUGACAGCCCCGUACACAAAAGCGCAUGUGCUGUGAGCUCGAUGAGUAGGGCGGGACACGUGGUAUCCUGUCUGAAUAUGGGGGGACCAUCCUCCAAGGCUAAAUACUCCUGACUGACCGAUAGUGAACCAGUACCGUGAGGGAAAGGCGAAAAGAACCCCGGCGAGGGGAGUGAAAAAGAACCUGAAACCGUGUACGUACAAGCAGUGGGAGCNNGUGACUGCGUACCUUUUGUAUAAUGGGUCAGCGACUUAUAUUCUGUAGCAAGGUUAACCGAAUAGGGGAGCCGGAGGGAAACCGAGUCUUAAUUGGGCGUUAAGUUGCAGGGUAUAGACCCGAAACCCGGUGAUCUAGCCAUGGGCAGGUUGAAGGUUGGGUAACACUAACUGGAGGACCGAACCGACUAAUGUUGAAAAAUUAGCGGAUGACCUGUGGCUGGGGGUGAAAGGCCAAUCAAACCGGGAGAUAGCUGGUUCUCCCCGAAAGCUAUUUAGGUAGCGCCUCGUGAAUUCAUCUCCGGGGGUAGAGCACUGUUUCGGCUAGGGGGCCAUCCCGGCUUACCAACCCGAUGCAAACUGCGAAUACCGGAGAAUGUUAUCACGGGAGACACACGGCGGGUGCUAACGUCCGUCGUGAAGAGGGAAACAACCCAGACCGCCAGCUAAGGUCCCAAAGUCAUGGUUAAGUGGGAAACGAUGUGGGAAGGCCCAGACAGCCAGGAUGUUGGCUUAGAAGCAGCCAUCAUUUAAAGAAAGCGUAAUAGCUCACUGGUCGAGUCGGCCUGCGCGGAAGAUGUAACGGGGCUAAACCAUGCACCGAAGCUGCGGCAGCGANNNNNNNNNNNNNNNNNNNNNNNNNNNNNNNNNNNNNNNNNNNNNNNNNNNNUGCUGGAGGUAUCAGAAGUGCGAAUGCUGACAUAAGUAACGAUAAAGCGGGUGAAAAGCCCGCUCGCCGGAAGACCAAGGGUUCCUGUCCAACGUUAAUCGGGGCAGGGUGAGUCGACCCCUAAGGCGAGGCCGAAAGGCGUAGUCGAUGGGAAACGGGUUAAUAUUCCCGUACUUGGUGUUACUGCGAAGGGGGGACGGAGAAGGCUAUGUUGGCCGGGCGACGGUUGUCCCGGUUUAAGCGUGUAGGCUGGUUUUCCAGGCAAAUCCGGAAAAUCAAGGCUGAGGCGUGAUGACGAGGCACUACGGUGCUGAAGCAACAAAUGCCCUGCUUCCAGGAAAAGCCUCUAAGCAUCAGGUAACAUCAAAUCGUACCCCAAACCGACACAGGUGGUCAGGUAGAGAAUACCAAGGCGCUUGAGAGAACUCGGGUGAAGGAACUAGGCAAAAUGGUGCCGUAACUUCGGGAGAAGGCACGCUGACACGUAGGUGAAGUGAUUUACUCAUGGAGCUGAAGUCAGUCGAAGAUACCAGCUGGCUGCAACUGUUUAUUAAAAACACAGCACUGUGCAAACACGAAAGUGGACGUAUACGGUGUGACGCCUGCCCGGUGCCGGAAGGUUAAUUGAUGGGGUCAGCGCAAGCGAAGCUCCUGAUCGAAGCCCCGGUAAACGGCGGCCGUAACUAUAACGGUCCUAAGGUAGCGAAAUUCCUUGUCGGGUAAGUUCCGACCUGCACGAAUGGCGUAAUGAUGGCCAGGCUGUCUCCACCCGAGACUCAGUGAAAUUGAACUCGCUGUGAAGAUGCAGUGUACCCGCGGCAAGACGGAAAGACCCCGUGAACCUUUACUAUAGCUUGACACUGAACAUUGAGCCUUGAUGUGUAGGAUAGGUGGGAGGCUUUGAAGUGUGGACGCCAGUCUGCAUGGAGCCGACCUUGAAAUACCACCCUUUAAUGUUUGAUGUUCUAACGUGGACCCGUAAUCCGGGUUGCGGACAGUGUCUGGUGGGUAGUUUGACUGGGGCGGUCUCCUCCUAAAGAGUAACGGAGGAGCACGAAGGUUGGCUAAUCCUGGUCGGACAUCAGGAGGUUAGUGCAAUGGCAUAAGCCAGCUUGACUGCGAGCGUGACGGCGCGAGCAGGUGCGAAAGCAGGUCAUAGUGAUCCGGUGGUUCUGAAUGGAAGGGCCAUCGCUCAACGGAUAAAAGGUACUCCGGGGAUAACAGGCUGAUACCGCCCAAGAGUUCAUAUCGACGGCGGUGUUUGGCACCUCGAUGUCGGCUCAUCACAUCCUGGGGCUGAAGUAGGUCCCAAGGGUAUGGCUGUUCGCCAUUUAAAGUGGUACGCGAGCUGGGUUUAGAACGUCGUGAGACAGUUCGGUCCCUAUCUGCCGUGGGCGCUGGAGAACUGAGGGGGGCUGCUCCUAGUACGAGAGGACCGGAGUGGACGCAUCACUGGUGUUCGGGUUGUCAUGCCAAUGGCACUGCCCGGUAGCUAAAUGCGGAAGAGAUAAGUGCUGAAAGCAUCUAAGCACGAAACUUGCCCCGAGAUGAGUUCUCCCUGAGACUUAGAGUCUCCUGAAGGAACGUUGAAGACGACGACGUUGAUAGGCCGGGUGUGUAAGCGCAGCGAUGCGUUGAGCUAACCGGUACUAAUGAACCGUGAGGCUUAACCUUA
rnacentral:rRNA from 1 species